rnacentral:rRNA from 1 species
UACGUAGGGGGCUAGCGUUGUCCGGAAUCAUUGGGCGUAAAGCGCGUGUAGGCGGUCCGGUAAGUCCGCUGUGAAAGUCGGGGGCUCAACCCUCGAAUGCCGGUGGAUACUGUCGGGCUAGAGUGCGGAAGAGGCGAGUGGAAUUCCUGGUGUAGCGGUGAAAUGCGCAGAUAUCAGGAGGAACACCAAUGGCGAAGGCGAAUCUCUGGACCGGUUCUGACGCUGAGGAGCGAAAGCGUGGGGAGCGAACAGG